rnacentral:lncRNA from 1 species
CUUUAGAAAUAUCUGUGUGUUGCAAUUCAAAUGUAUGUUGAGAUUGUGAAAGCGCUUCAGUGGCACUAGCCUACGGGGACCCUAGAUUAAGCCUUUGAUAACUUUUAUUGCAUGAUACAGUACCAGUAACAAAAGGUGGCCUAAACACAUGAAAAGCAGUGUAAGCUAGUGACACUAAAGCCAGUCUUGUAUUACUGUAUUUUUGACAGAUGGUUUUGAAAACUGUGCUACAGGGACUGAUGUGGCAAAUAUAUCUCUUUAUGCAGAAGGAAGUCUUUUUUUUUUUUUAAGAAAAAAAGAAGUAUGGCUUAUUAUGCAUUCUUCAUCGAGG